rnacentral:sRNA from 1 species
GCCGGGUACAGUGGUGCAUGCCUGUAAUCCCAGUGGUUCAGGAGGCUGAGGCAGGAAGAUUUCUAGUUGAAAGCCAGCCUCAG